CCAAAGCUCCGAUUUUUGACGAGCGCAUCUAUUAGAUUAAAACCAAUCGGAUUUCGGUCCGUCAUUUGGUGACUCUGAAUAGCUAUGGCUGAUCGCAUGGUCUUGUACCGGCGACGUAUCUAUCAAGUGUCUGCCUUAUCAACUUUCGAUGGUAGUUUAUGUGCCUACCAUGGUUGUAACGGGUAACGGAGAAUAAGGGUUCGACUCCGGAGAGGGAGCCUGAGAAACGGCUACCACAUCCAAGGAAGGCAGCAGGCGCGCAAAUUACCCACUCUCGGCAUGAGGAGGUAGUGACGAAAAAUAACGAGACCGUUCUCUAUGAGGCCGGUUAUCGGAAUGGGUACAAUUUAAACCCGUUAACGAGGAUCUAUGAGAGGGCAAGUCUGGUGCCAGCAGCCGCGGUAAUUCCAGCUCUCAAAGUGUAUAUCGUCAUUGCUGCGGUUAAAAAGCUCGUAGUUGGAUCUGCGCCUCAGGACUCGGUCCGCCCACUGGGUGAGAACUGGGCUCCUAGGCUAAUACUGCUGGUUUUCCCUAUGUUGCCUUCACCGGUCGCGUAGGGUGGCUAGCGAGUUUACUUUGAAAAAAUUAGAGUGCUUCACGCGGGCUAUUGUCUGAAUACUCGUGCAUGGAAUAAUAGAAUAGGAUCUCGGUUCUAUUUUGUUGGUUUUCUGAUCUGAGAUAAUGGUUAAGAGGGACGGACGGGGGCAUUCGUAUCGCUGCGUGAGAGGUGAAAUUCUUGGACCGUAGCGAGACGUCCGACUGCGAAAGCAUUUGCCAAGAAUGUCUUCAUUAAUCAAGAACGAAAGUCAGAGGUUCGAAGGCGAUCAGA
rnacentral:rRNA from 1 species